rnacentral:rRNA from 1 species
GCUACAGGCUUAACACAUGCAAGUCGAGGGGAAACGAUAUUGGAAGCUUGCUUCCGAUAGGCGUCGACCGGCGCACGGGUGAGUAACGCGUAUCCAACCUGCCCACCACUUGGGGAUAACCUUGCGAAAGUAAGACUAAUACCCAAUGAUAUCUCUAGGAGACAUCUGAAAGAGAUUAAAGAUUUAUCGGUGAUGGAUGGGGAUGCGUCUGAUUAGCUUGUUGGCGGGGUAACGGCCCACCAAGGCAACGAUCAGUAGGGGUUCUGAGAGGAAGGUCCCCCACAUUGGAACUGAGACACGGUCCAAACUCCUACGGGAGGCAGCAGUGAGGAAUAUUGGUCAAUGGACGAGAGUCUGAACCAGCCAAGUAGCGUGCAGGAAGACGGCCCUAUGGGUUGUAAACUGCUUUUAUAAGGGAAUAAAGUGAGUCUCGUGAGACUUUUUGCAUGUACCUUAUGAAUAAGGACCGGCUAAUUCCGUGCCAGCAGCCGCGGUAAUACGGAAGGUCCGGGCGUUAUCCGGAUUUAUUGGGUUUAAAGGGAGCGUAGGCCGGAGAUUAAGCGUGUUGUGAAAUGUAGACGCUCAACGUCUGCACUGCAGCGCGAACUGGUUUCCUUGAGUACGCACAAAGUGGGCGGAAUUCGUGGUGUAGCGGUGAAAUGCUUAGAUAUCACGAAGAACUCCGAUAGCGAAGGCAGCUCACUGGAGCGCAACUGACGCUGAAGCUCGAAAGUGCGGGUAUCGAACAGGAUUAGAUACCCUGGUAGUCCGCACGGUAAACGAUGGAUGCCCGCUGUUGGUCUGAAUAGGUCAGCGGCCAAGCGAAAGCAUUAAGCAUCCCACCUGGGGAGUACGCCGGCAACGGUGAAACUCAAAGGAAUUGACGGGGGCCCGCACAAGCGGAGGAACAUGUGGUUUAAUUCGAUGAUACGCGAGGAACCUUACCCGGGCUUGAAUUGCAGAGGAAGGAUUUGGAGACAAUGACGCCCUUCGGGGCCUCUGUGAAGGUGCUGCAUGGUUGUCGUCAGCUCGUGCCGUGAGGUGUCGGCUUAAGUGCCAUAACGAGCGCAACCCCUCUCCUUAGUUGCCAUCAGGUCAAGCUGGGCACUCUGGGGACACUGCCACCGUAAGGUGUGAGGAAGGUGGGGAUGAC